rnacentral:lncRNA from 1 species
CAACUGAAUAAUACAUUGAAUAUAAAAACAAAACAAAAGCUAUAGAAAUAAUACAGAAUAGAAAUAAUAAAUCUUUAAAAGAGAAUGAAAUAGAUAAAUCCCAAGUAAAUCUAAAAAAUAGGAAAUGAUGGUUAGAAGCAUGUACAGUGGGGCUAAGAAAUGUCAGCUCACAUCUUGGCUCUACCAGUUAAUAGCUGGAUAACCUUGAACUGGAUCCUUAACCUUAGUCUGCCAAAGACAGCCCUAGCUCAGCAAAUUCCCACCUACACAGCAAAUGCAGUUAGACUGUUUCAGCCUGUCCUCUAUCUAAAACAUUUGGGUUGUUUAUGAUGUUUUUGACAAAUAAAGCUUUUAAAUUUUUAAUUAGUCAGAUCUGUAAAUCUUUUUUAUGUGUUUGCCUCUUGGCAUUAUUUUCCAUCUCUCUCCUUGGAAUCUUCUCUUUUUUUAGGCUCUAUUCCUAGGUUAUUUUCUUUUGUCGGAAAUGAGAAAUCUUUA